rnacentral:rRNA from 1 species
GUAACGGAGGAGCACGAAGGUGGGCUAAUCACGGUCGGACAUCGUGAGGUUAGUGCAAUGGCAUAAGCCCGCUUAACUGCGAGAGUGACGGCUCGAGCAGGUACGAAAGUAGGUCAUAGUGAUCCGGUGGUUCUGAAUGGAAGGGCCAUCGCUCAACGGAUAAAAGGUACUCCGGGGAUAACAGGCUGAUACCGCCCAAGAGUUCAUAUCGACGGCGGUGUUUGGCACCUCGAUGUCGGCUCAUCACAUCCUGGGGCUGAAGUCGGUCCCAAGGGUAUGGCUGUUCGCCAUUUAAAGUGGUACGCGAGCUGGGUUUAGAACGUCGUGAGACAGUUCGGUCCCUAUCUGCCGUGGGCGUUGGAUGAUUGAGGGGAGCUGCUCCUAGUACGAGAGGACCGGAGUGGACGAACCGCUGGUGUUCGGGUUGUGUCGCCAGACGCAUUGCCCGGUAGCUAAGUUCGGCACAGAUAAGCGCUGAAAGCAUCUAAGCGCGAAGCUGGCCCCGAGAUGAGUCAUCCCUAGAGCUUCGAGCUCUCUAAAGGGUUGUUCUAGACUAGAACGUUGAUAGGCAGGGUGUGUAAGCGCUGUGAGGCGUUGAGCUAACCUGUACUAAUUGCCCGUGAGGCUUAACCAUACAACACCCAAG